CACUACAACAUCAGCCCGUGGAGUUGAGCCACUUUCUCACCUGUCCCAAGCGGUGUCACUGCGUAUCCCCCUCCAGAGGGGGCACCUUGUCUAACGCACAUGAAGGCUCCACGUGUGCAGACUCCUUGGUGACCAGCCGGCACCCUCUGGAGCCACACAUCACGACAGCUUCAGGAAUGUUGCGGGUCCACCCGCCCUCCCAGAUCCCUAUGAAGUAUUCUUAUCAAAAAUACCAAAUGAAUCUACUCAGGCCUCUAGUCCAAAUACUAGCUAACAGGAGACGAGGGGAUGGAGGAACUUAUUCAAUGACAUCAUGAAGGCAAAAAUCAGGCAAACCAACAAGACCAGUGACCUAGUUUCUUCAGCAUACGAAGCAUCUGCAGUGUGUGGGCCUUGUUUGGAUCCUGAUUUGAACAAACCAACAACUGUAAAAACAUAUUUUAGAGACACAUAGAGAAAACAAUAUGAACUGGAUAUCAGGUGACAUUGAGGAAUUAUUGGUAAUUUGCUGAGUAUGAUAAAGGUAUUGUGGUUUCUUCCUUAAGGGUACAUAUCUCUUAGAUACACAGAAACACUCACAGGUGAAAUGAUACAAUUCUGAGAUUUGCUUUCAGAUCCUCCAGUUUAAAAAAGGUUGUGUUGGAAUAGAUGAAAAGAAAUGCAGAAAGUGGAAAGCUGACAGCUGCUGAAGCUGGUCAACACGGGUGCUUGCAGCAGGCUGAAUAACACCCCCCAAAAGAUGCCCAUGUCCUAAUCCUAGAACCUGUGACUGUUAUCUUAAUGAUAAAAGGAACUUUACAGAUAUAAUUAAGAAUCUUUAGAGUGAUUACCCUGGAUUAUCCAGGUGUUCCAGUGUAAUCACCAAAGUCCUUAUCAGUGAGAGAGGGAGGCAGGAGUCAGAGUCACAGGAGAUAUGACGCAAGCAGGGGUCAGAGUGAUGUACUUUGCAGAUGGAGGACAGGGCAUGAGCCAGGAAGCAGUCUCCCCUUGAGCCUCCAGAAGAAACACAGCCAUGCAGACCCAUUUUAGACUUCUGAGCUGCAGAACAGUAGAAUAAAUUCAUGUUGUUCUAAGCCAUAAAGUCUGUGGUAGUCUAUUACAACAGCAACAUAAAACUAAGACAUAAAACUAAACUAAUACAGGGUUCAUCUUCUACUUUGGGGUUCAAAAAU
rnacentral:lncRNA from 1 species